GAUCGGAACCAUUAGGGUUCGGGUAUUGUCGGGUUCGUCGUAUUCCAAUUAAAACGGCUCAGCUAUUCCAUCAAGCGGUCUGUUCUGUCCUAGACUCCACCAAGAGUCGUAGUGCGCGCCGGGAUUUAAUAUUUAAUUAAUUGGUCCAAGUGAUAAACUAAAACAAUAGUGAAAGUUGCUAGUUAAUAGGCCAUUGCAUCAGUUGGCCAAGAGAAAGGAUCUAAAAGUUAUUGUUUCGUAGAUCUAUUGUGAGAAAAUUAAUGAAAAGGCCACGUAGAAAAGACAAAAGUUAUAUUGUGUACAUCAAUCAAGAAGAAAGGUCCAGCAAGUGGGCCUUUUUUCUGCUUCUUUGCUUUUUUUCGUCUCGCAGAGCCCGAUACGGCGGUAUAAGUGCACUCCAAGGACAGAAGGCGGAUUCCCAGUGGUACGUCAAUCUGCUACAUUCUCACCAUUCGCUGGUCACCCACAACGCCCACGUGGAGGGCGGUGUUCACAGCCCGUGCUCGUGCCUUAAGUGUCUCGCCAUUGACCGCGUUGACCAUUGGUUGGAAUCUGCCAUCAUUACCACGCCAUCAGCCGGGCCCUGGAGCGGCCAGUACCGUUAGCCAUCGUCCGGCAAUCGUGCACGUUCUUUCGGCAUACGCCCUCGCCGCCGGAGCCGCUAUUAUACGCUCACCAUCGUCACGCCAUUGCAAACUUCUUUCGGCAAUCAGCAUCGUCGCCGGAUACGCCAUUGUUAGCACGCUUUCGUCCGGGCGCCGGAGCGGCCCACGCCCGUGGCCAUCGUCACCGCCAGUCAACCAUCACCAUCGCAGCCCGUGCUCACGGGGUCACUAGCGCCGGCCAUCGAUUCGUUGGCCAAUCCCUCGUCCUUGUGAUCAUCCCGUGCUCGCGUUAAACCGUGAGCUCCGAACAACAGUGCGGCAGUGUUCUCCAACUAACAUCAGUCCGAAAGCAGAGCGAACCACGGUGUGACGAGAAUCGAUGUCCCGUGAUAACCGUCAUCCAGAGCAGUGCAUCGCCGUCACCGUUAGAGAGGCCAUGAUAGAAAAACGCAAGUACCCUACCCCUAGAAGAAUGACGUCACUAAAAACCUUAAUUUGUAAUAAAUUAGCAUGCUAAGAUAAAAGUACUGUGUACCGAGUACAAUUAAUUGACAGCUAAGCCUUGAAUAAGUCUCAUUCACUAUUUUGUUUGCUUUUCGCCUCGUU